rnacentral:rRNA from 1 species
UUUGUAGAAUGAACCGGCGAGUUACGAUUUGUUGCAAGGUUAAGCGGAAAAAGCGGAGCCGUAGCGAAAGCGAGUCUGAAUAGGGCGCAUAAGUAACAGGUCGUAGACCCGAAACCAGGUGAUCUACCCAUGUCCAGGAUGAAGGUAAGGUAAUACUUACUGGAGGUCCGAACCCACGCACGUUGAAAAGUGCGGGGAUGAGGUGUGGGUAGCGGAGAAAUUCCAAUCGAACUUGGAGAUAGCUGGUUCUCUCCG